rnacentral:rRNA from 1 species
AUCUGGUUGAUCCUGCCGGUAGUCUAUGUAUCUCCAAGACUAUUAAUGCAUGUCUAAGUAUAACAAUUAUACGGUGAGCUGCGAACGGCUCAUUAAAUCAGUUAUCGUUUAUUUGAUAGUUUCUGCUUGGAUAACCGUGAUAACUUCAGAACUAAUGCGACUGGCCAACUUCUGGCGUAUAUAUUAGAUACAAACCAACAGUAUGGUGAUUCAUAAUAUCUUGUCCGAACCGAUCUUCGGUGUAUCAUUCAAAUUUCUGCUAUCAACUGUCGAUGGUAGGAUCGUGGCCUACCAUGGUAACAACGGGUAACGAGGGAAUCAGGGUUCUAUUCGGAGAGGGAGCCUGAGGCGGCUACCAUCCAAAAAGGAAGGCAGCAGGCGCGCAAAUUGCGAAAUCCUGACACGGUGAAGUGACAAUAUAUAACGAUCAGGAGCUCUUUGAGUUUCAGGUGGAAUGAAGUCUAAUUUAAACACCUUGUAACGAGGAGGAACAAUUGGAGGGGAGCAGAAUCUGGUGCCAGCUUAUUGCGGUAAUUCAGCUCAAUAGCGUAUUAAUGUUGUUGCAGUUAAAAGCUCGUAGUUGAAAUUGGGCGGGCUAUUGGUUGAAACCGCUUCAGAACUUCUUCCAGUUACUUUGAAAAAAUUAAGUGUUCAACGCAGGUUUCGCCUGAAUAUAUUAGCAUGGAAUAACAUAACACGACGAGGGUCCAUUUUGUUGGCUUGCCAAGAGCCGUAUUGAUUAAUAGGGACAGUCGGGGGCGUCAGUAUUGUGUUGUCAGAGGUGAAAUUCUUGGUUACACAAGACUAACUUCUGCGAAGGCAUUCGCCAGGAUAUUCAUUAAUCAGAACAGAAAGUUGAGGGAUCAAAGAUGAUCCAGAUACCGUCGUAGUCUUAACCAUCAACUAUGCCGACUGAGAAUGGGUACCGCUUAUACGGUAUCCGCGCUCUCUGAAAUCAAAGUGAUCAGGUUCUGGGGGAGUAUGGUCGCAAGGCUGAAACUUAAAAUUGACGGAAGGGCUGCACCAGGGUGGAGCCUGCGGCUUAAUUGACUCAACACGGGGAAACUCACCAGGUCCAGACACAAUAAGGAUUGACAGAUUGAUAGCUCUUUCUUGAUUUUUGUGGGUGGUGGUGCAUGGCCGUUCUUAGUUGGUGGGUGAUUUGUCUGCUUAAUUGCGAUAACGAACGAGACCUUGACCUAUAAAUAAUGGCUCUACUUGCGGUGCAGGUAGCUAACUGUAGAGGGACUAUCUAUUACAAGUAGAUGGAGUUCGAGACAUGUGCUGGGUCUGUGAUGCCCAUGUAGACGUUCUGGGCCGCACGCGCUACACUGACGAACCAGCGAGUCGACCAAGCCAGAAGGGCUGGGCAAUCUUGUGAAACUCCGUGCUGGGGAUAGAGGCAUUGCAAUUGUGCUCUUCAGCGAGGAAUUCCUGAAGUAGCGCAAGUCAUCAGCUUGCGUUGAUUACGUCCCUGCCGCUGUACACACACCAUACGUCGCUACUACCGAUUGAAUGGUUUGGUAGGACGGGAGGGCGAGAUGAGAGAACCCUUUUGAACAUCAAACUUGGUAGGCGGUGUUUGAAGUAAAGUCGUAACAAGGUUUCGUAGGUGAACCUGCGGAAGAUCGUAU